UUACUACAUACACUUUAAUUAUUCACACAUAUACAUGUAUUCUGAUCUCAUGACACAAAAUAUCAGUGGAACAAUUUAUACAUGACAAACAUGUGUAAUAACAUUUGUCUCUUUCACAGAUUCCUGCUUCACCAGGUCGAUCCAGUCUGAGAGUCACAGUCCGGGCUCCUCCACAAAUCAUGGAGUCAACCAGAAUGAAACUCAUGAGUACGACUCUGUUCAUCCUGGUACCAAUCACAUCUAUGACUCAGUUACGCCGGUUGAAGACAACAGAAAUGGUGCAGUAUAUUUGUUGAAAAACACAGAGAAUUUAGAGAAGAAAUUUAUUUUUGAUUUAAUAAAAUUAUUUCCAUGUGAAAUGUUUACAAUCCUGUAACU